GAUGAAGAACGUAGUGAAAUGCGAUACUUGGUGUGAAUUGCAGAAUCCCGUGAACCAUCGAGUUUUUGAACGCAAGUUGCGCCCGAAGCCGUUAGGCCGAGGGCACGCCUGCCUGGGUGUCACAUAUCGUUGCCCAAUGCCUAUUGCAGUGCAAUAGGAAUUUCUAGGGCGAAUGAUGGCUUCCCGUGAGCUUUGUUGCCUCGCGGUUGGUUGAAAAUCGAGUCCUUGGUAGGGUGUGCCAUGGUAGAUGGUGGUCGAGUUAGAACGAUACCGAUCAUGUGCAUGCUCCCCAAAAUAUGGCCUCUAUGACCCACACGCGUCUUUUGACGCUCAUGACGAGACCUCAGGUCAGGCGGGGCUACCCGCUGAAUUUAAGCAUAUCAAUAAGCGGAGGA
rnacentral:misc_RNA from 1 species